UCCUUUACAGCAAAGAAAAACACUAUCCCCUCAAUAUAUAUGCUCCUUUACAUCAAACCCUAGCCGCCUACAACAUAUCUACAAAACUACCCACUAACCCAUUGUUCUCCGACCACCGUGCCGUUCUUCUCCCACGAUGUCGUUUUGUCCGCCGGCACCGUCACAGCUAGAUCUGAAUUUAUAAACAGGAUUAUGUGUUAUGCAUCUGGUAAUGAUACAGGUGGCAAUCGGUCAUCAAUGAUUACAGGGCAACCACAUCACUCAUGUGUAUGUGAAGAGAUUAGUUUUGCAUUUAAAGGCUUUGAUGAUGAAAAUGGAUUUAUAGCUACACGAUCGGUUAUGGUGUACAAAGUUGUAAGCCUUUUGGUUCGUGUCUUGUCGGUGGACUAGACUAUUUUCAUAAUGGCGUUGGCUACCUGAGACAAAUCGAGUCUGGAUUUGGGAAGGUGUACAAACGCCGAGUUAUGUGUAUAACUUAGAGCAUCAAAGUUCUGGGCCGAAAUUGAGAUGCUUUCUAAUAUAAAGAAAGCACUCUGUCAAGAAUUUCGUAGGUGCUUGACGUGGAUUGGAUUACCUUCACACAUGGAUUAGAUUACCUCCACACGUGUGUUGACGCCUAACAUAAAGGUCAGACAUUAUGAAAUAAAGAGUUGGAGUCACCCGUGCAUAUCCACGUAACGAAGAAAGAUGUAAAAAAUCAAUUAAACUAUAGGUGUUGCACGUGCAUUGAACAACCUUCAUACUUGUGUUACACCUGAUUCAAAUCAUACAUCGUGAUGUAAAGAGCUCGAAUAAUUGGCAAGACAAAUUAUUAGUGAAUAACGCCUAAUUUUAGUUUCUUUUGCUUGUCAAAGGUAAAAGUGUUAUAAUUUAACUUAUUUGUAUGUUUUUCUUAUAAUCUAACUUAUUACCUUUGAUAUAAGCAUAAAUUUAAGUUAAACCAUUUUCAUGUUGUAAUGCGUUUUUACAAUGUUAAGCUUAGUAUACAAUUAUCUUA